rnacentral:misc_RNA from 1 species
GAACAAUUUUUGUUUGGCUAUAUUCCACUCUUUAAUUUGUUCAUGAUAGUAAGGGCAAAUUAUUAAGAAAAAAAAUGAAAAUUACAAUUCAAUAAUAAAUAAUAAACCUUUAAAUAUAACUAUUAUAAUUAUUAUUAACAAGCUUCAGACCUGAAGUUGCGUCCUCACAGUGCUGACAUGAGGAACAACUGUACCCAUAUCGACUUCCACCUUU